rnacentral:rRNA from 1 species
UUCGGGGCGAAGAUAAGAUGGAUUAGCGGCGGACGGGUGAGUAACACGUGAGUAACCUGCCUUAGACAUUGGGAUAGCCUCGGGAAACCGGGAUUAAUACCAAAUGAAAUCACAUAUGCACAUGCAUAAAUGAUCAAAGCUCCGGCGGUCUAAGAUGGACUCGCGUCCCAUUAGCUAGUUGGUGAGAUAACAGCCCACCAAGGCGACGAUCAGUAGCCGGUCUGAGAGGGUGAACGGCCACAUUGGAACUGAGAAACGGUCCAAACUCCUACGGGAGGCAGCAGUGGGGAAUAUUGCACAAUGGAGGGAACUCUGAUGCAGCGACGCCGCGUGAACGAAGAAGGCUUUCGAGUCGUAAAGUUCUUUUAUAUGGGAAGAUAAUGACGGUACCAUAAGAAAAAGCCCCGGCUAACUACGUGCCAGCAGCCGCGGUAAUACGUAGGGGGCUAGCGUUGUCCGGAAUCACUGGGCGUAAAGGGUUCGCAGGCGGAAAUGCAAGUCAGGUGUAAAAGGCAGUAGCUUAACUACUGUAAGCAUUUGAAACUGCAUAUCUUGAGAAGAGUAGAGGUAAGUGGAAUUUUUAGUGUAGCGGUGAAAUGCGUAGAUAUUAAAAAGAAUACCGGUGGCGAAGGCGACUUACUGGGCUCAUUCUGACGCUGAGGAACGAAAGCGUGGGUAGCAAACAGGAUUAGAUACCCUGGUAGUCCACGCUGUAAACGAUGAGUGCUAGGUAUCGGAAUAAUUCGGUGCCGCAGUUAACACAUUAAGCACUCCGCCUG